rnacentral:rRNA from 1 species
AUUGAACGCUGGCGGCAGGCCUAACACAUGCAAGUCGAGCGGAUGAAGGGAGCUGGCUCCUGGAUUCAGCGGCGGACGGGUGAGUAAUGCCUAGGAAUCUGCCUGGUAGUGGGGGAUAACGUCCGGAAACGGGCGCUAAUACCGCAUACGUCCUGCGGGUGAAAGUGGGGGAUCUUCGGACCUCACGCUCUCAGAUGAGCCUAGGUCGGGUGAGCUAGUUGGCGGGGUAGAGGCCUACCAAGGCGACGAUCCUUAACUGGUCUGAGAGGAUGGUCAGUCAGACGAGAACUGAGACAGGGUCCAGACUCCUAGGGGAGGCAGCAGUGGGGAAUAUUGGACGAUGGGCGAAAGCCUGAUACAGCCAUGCCGCGUGUGUGAAGAAGGUCUUCGGAUUGUAGAGCACUUUAAGUUGGGGGGAAGGACAGUAAGUUAAUACCUUGCUGUUAUGACGUUACCAACAGAAUAAGCACCGGCUAACUUCGUG